rnacentral:rRNA from 1 species
UACAGAGGGGGCAAGCGUUGUUCGGAAUUACUGGGCGUAAAGGGCGCGUAGGCGGCCUUCUAAGUCGAACGUGAAAUCCCCGGGCUCAACCCGGGAACUGCGUCCGAUACUGGAGGGCUUGAAUCCGGGAGAGGGAUGUGGAAUUCCAGGUGUAGCGGUGAAAUGCGUAGAUAUCGGGAGGAAUACCUAUGGCGAAAGCAGGCUACUGGACCAUCACUGACGCUGAUCUGCGAAAGCUAGGGGAGCAAACAGG